GGAUGGGAGGGGAGGGGAGGUGUGCACACUCGGUCGCUUGGGUCAACGCUGCCCACUCGUUUUAUGGCAAAGCAGAUAGCUGGUCGCAGGAAAACAGUCUUAGGCAGGGAACUGUCAUAUCUUAAAUCUCUUUCCCUCUGCAGCAGUCUAGGACCUUUCUGGGGUUACGACGCCCCUCUAAAGAAGAAGCGCGGGGCCUGGAACUUUUGUGUCUCCACCUGGCCCCCGCCCCCACGCAUCUUGACCUUGAGUGGCUUUUCCUAUACACAGGCCUGGUGACCGUCAGGUGGGACCACCCAAAGCCACUCUUACUGAGCCCGCAGUCCCUGGCCCAAUAUAGGGCUGAGCGCUGUUCACGCCAGCCCUGGGUUCAACCUGGAAGGUGUGUGCAGCCGCCCCAAUGUACCGAUGUGCGGAGACUGCAGAGACUCCAAAAAAAACAAAAAAACAAAAAAACAAAACAAACAAACAAACAAACAAAAAAAACUAGGGGGUUUCUAAUUGUUUGCGGGGGAAAAGGAACCGGAAUAGUGGGGAAACGGUCACCUUUGCAUUUUAAAAGGGAUUCAGCUGAGAUUCGGGUGAGCGCAGGGCUACGCUGAUUAAAAGGAAGGAGGCUGUCAUUUUGUGGAGGCUGUAGCUACACAGUUCUGCCUCCGGCGAGGCAGGUGGCUAGCGGCCUUUGCAUUUCUGUAGGGCUAAGUGUCCCCGCUGGGGACAGCAACCUCAGAGGGGUCCUGAGAGGCAGCUGGUAGGACGCCGGGAACAACACCUCUUAUUUCAUGACCCUAUUUUUGGGCUUUACCAUUUAGCCAGAGGUGGGCAGGUCCUCCUGGUGCAGACACGAAGAAACGGCAUCCCAGAGAUGUGUUAAGAGCCAAAGCAGAAGAGUUAAAAUCAAAGUACUAUGGUCUAGAACCGUAGAGGGCCCCAGAUAGGCUGAACUUUCAGCCCAGAAAUGAUAACGGGUGGGGGUAGGGUGGGGGCUGCAGAGGUAGGAGAACUGCGGGUGGAAACCAGAAUGCCUCCUUUCACUUAACCAGGAAUGAAAGGGUAAGAGGCCAAGAAUAGCACGCUGGUGUUUUCUUCUUCAGAGAAAAGAUUGCAAGCUUCCUAGGGUAGCUCCUGGGAUAUGGGCAAAAAUGACAUCUCUCCUACCUAAUUUCUUUGAAACUAGCACCUCAGAGGGGAGAAAAUCACUAAUAACUAAGCACAUCAUAUGCAUGUAUGUAUAUAUGAAUGUAUCUUAUUGUGCAUGCAAAUGUAUAUAUGAAACAUUAUUAUAUACCCAAAGAAAAUUAAAAGAAAACAACCCAUCUAAAGCAGAAACAAGCCCUGUACGCAGAGGUUUGGCCUGAAAUGUUUCCGAGUUAACAGCCGUAGACUCACAACAAUUUCAGUAUAUUCUACCUCAAGGAAGAAAAUAUUCUGAAGGGUUGGGAAGCGAAGGGGCCUGAAAGGUGAAGGGCCUAGAAAAUGCCUUGGUCCUUGGCCUUAAGUGGCUUAAAACCUGGAUAGACCUUCAUUCCAAGGCUGCCCCUCUGUCCUGGGCUCAGGCUCUAGAGGCACCACUCCCCUCAAGGUGUGUUAGUAAUAAUUAGAGAGGGUUUAAGGUCAAAGCUGUUGUCUUAGUAGAUGAGGCAGAGAAGUUUGAAGAAAGCAGGCCCAGAAUAUUGCCUUUGUUUGACUCUGCAGUACUGUCAUGCCCUAAGGCUAACAGGUAGUUUCCGUUGUGACACUUUUGUUCCUGUAACUAAACCCAUUCCUUCCAUUUGUUUGUCUGUGCUUUACUCAGACACAGCUGACCCCAUAUCGGGUUCUGCCAGAAACGGUGGCUUUGGAUCUACAGAGAACCGUUAUUUUUAAAAAAAAAAAAAAAUCCUAUGCCAACCUUUCUCUCCCUACCAUACACACCAGAUUGCAGUCUGUGGGAAAGCAAUUCCUUUUCACUAGAACUAAUGUGGGCUCCGAGGAGAUCAGACAGAGAACAGUCAGAGAAUGUGCCUUGAAAAGAACUACUGUGUUCUCAAUAUUAACUUGGGACAAGGAGGUGGGAGCAUGGCCAAACUGGGUUUUAUUACCCUGGUUAUCUGUUGACUCAACAAUGCCAAGCUACUAAGGAUUCCUAAAGUUUCGAAAGGAGAGUCAGUUUUAUUCUCUUAUUCCCAAGAUCACUUCAGUUUGAUGAUGUUGGAGAUCUGCAGAAUAGCGUCCAAAUCGGUGAUGCAAUCGGCCGCAUUGUUCGCUAGACUUGUGGGUAAGCGAUCUAGAGGGACCUUUUCUUCCUCCGGAGCGCGAGUUGGCGUGCUUUGAUUUCACCCCUCACUCUCCGCCCUGCUGCCCAGCAUCAUUUAGGCCAAGAUCGGGUAUAAUGGGAAACACCAUCAGCAGACAAUUACCCUUUCAGAGGAUUCACUUCUCCUCACAGACACUGUUAUUUGAGAAAUAGGAUCAUUUGAUUUCAUAUUGCACUAAAUAACACCCAGCCGGUUCAAAUUGCCAGCUUCUUAAAAACCGCCCAUUGGAAUAAAUUGCAGCAGCCUCUUUGGCUUUUCAGGCCAAUACUGUGGGUACUGUGGGUACCGGGAAGAACUUACAAAAGUAACUCUAAAGCCAACCCUGAGCAGUCUCCACCGUGUCCCCCUCUCCCAACUUUGACAUGGCUCGACCACUUGACUUUGGAAUUAAAAUGCACAGCUUCGGUCACCCCAGGAAGCGAUUCGAACUACAAAGUGCAUAAGUGUUCAUCAGAGAAAGACAGUGUGGGAUAGGAGCCACCGAGUUCUCUAUGUCCUGCUCGCUUGCUUUGAAGGGUUAGUGUGCUUGAGGACUGCUACAGGUUUGUGCUUCACAAGCGGUGUCUCGCCCUUCCGGUCCCUGGUCUCUACUCCUCAGAGCCUUGUCACUACCGCCACCGCCGGCAAAGCUUCGCGCUCUCAUGCACUGUUCUUUCUACUCUAGCGGCUAGAGCUAGUCUGGGAUCCACGACCCCAAAGGUCCGCCUAGAUGGCCAAAAGAGGAAGCUGCAUUGGGUCAUCAGGCCCUAGUGGAAUGGGAGGGAGGAGAAGGCCAGAAGCUAGCAGAGAACAUUAGUUCGCUGAACACGAACCAUCACAGACAUUUUAGAAAAAAAAAAAAUUAAGCCCUCUGAAGUUGACCGGUUUGCUCUGGUUUAAUUGAUGCUGUUCAGCUGAGUGGCAAUUGUUCUGCGGAUGGGGCAAAUCCAUCCCCACCCCACGAACUCAAAAAAGAAAAAAAAAUGGAGUCCUUGCGUCUUGGUUCCUUCACGCCAAUGGACAGAGUGUGUUUAAGACUGACAGUUUUGGCAAACAUGUCCUUUGCAGCCUUGCGUUGUUAGAUUUGUGUUUAUAUACUUCGGAAAAGUGCGUUAGAUUUUUCCUAGAUAAACCGAAGGCAGGAUCCUGGAGACUCUCUCUCCCUGGCGCACCCCCAUUGCUGGCAGGAGCAAGAAGGAACCUUUUGGUGGGCCAGUAAUACUAGGCGGUUAGUGACCUACUGGGGAGGGAGCCUUUGUCUUUGGUGGGACUGGGAGGAGUCAGGGAGAAGGGAGAGAUGUGGUAUGAGCCCUUAGGGAAGGUUCCAGGAGCCUCAAAUUCCUAGGUGUUGGGCUGGCGUUUGGGGCAGGUGUCUGGGAAAACGUGGGCUGUCCAGUUAAGAUGGGUCCUUGGGGGAGCCGAAGGUUUCACUGUGCUCUCCUUCUGCAUUUGGCCUUGUUCUGGGAACCCUUAGCCUCGCAGCUCCGUAGCAUUGUUAGGUCAGCUUUUCUUCCUCAUCAAUAAAAGUCUAUCCAGGAGCCCUAAUAUACCCCCAAUAAAAAAUCUGGGCUAUGAGCCUUGGAUGCUACCCUCUGGAACCCAGGAGGAAAACAUAGGGCUCAGCUUCCCAUGACUCCAAAUCCGGCGUAUCCGGAUCUAGGGCAGGCAUAGGACUGACCCGUAGGUCUCCCGGAGAGUUCUGGCUCCGGCUCCAGGAGGUCCUUAACACUAAGACGGUCGUUCACGUUCAGUCCCUGGCGCCGCACUAAGCCCACCCCGAGAGCCUCCAGGCCGGUCAUCCUCAAUUGGAGUGCCCCCUUUCAACUUCCCAUUUCUUCCCCGUAGACUGUAAAACCCACCCCCACGAAGUGCAAAGGCCACAAGGGCAGCUUUUCUAAGAGGUUGGAACAGAGCGGUUAAAUUCCGCGGUUCAGGAAAGGCGAUCCAAAGUUCACAGCCUGUGCAAACCGAACCUCGGAGCUUCUGGUGGAAGAGCCGCGCGCCGUCAACGGACUUGGGGCCGCUGGCAGAGGCUGCUGAGCGGCGGACUGAGCUUCGGGAGCCCCAGAGAAGACUCUCGGGAGGAUGUGGAAGGACCUUUCCCUUCUUACAGGCCUUUGACACUCUUCUCCCCGACCAGAGUCGGAAGAGUGUAAAUUAGGACCGACCUCCAACAUCAGCUGGGGAAGUCAUGCCCGCCCGGUCCAGGCCUAGGAGCCUAGGUGGGACAGCUGUCACAACUCCUGUCGCUUUGGGGAGUGGCUAAGUAGGUCAGCCACUUUGCCCACUAUUACCGCCCCCCACGGUCGCUCGCGUGUCAGUGCCGGUCCCCGCGCCACCCUCGCUAGCGCGUUGUCCCUCCAGGUCGCCGCGUUUACCAGCGCGUUUUGUUCCGCAGUUGGAUUCCAGGCUGAGGGGCUGUAACCGUGCUCUCCUCCGACGGACGCUAAUCAAUAUGUACAUGGCUGUCCAGCUGAACUGCAGUUCUUCGUCUCCUUUGCAGCUACACAUGGCCCCUGGGACCACAUUCUCACCAACGAGACACAAGCAGAUUGAAGAAGUUAGAGCAUGACGAGUGUUCUAGAAGAUCAGAGGUGACUGGUGCUGAGGAAUGGAGACUUGAGAAUGAGGUAUUCCCAUGGACAAAUCAUCUCCCUUCACCUCAGCCAGGCUGCUGGGCCAGAAGACAUACUACAUUAUGUGUUAUUCUGGGCAGUAGAAAGUAGCACAUAUGUCCAUGGAAAGCAAAGAAACACAAAAAUAUGAACCAAGGGAAAUUUUCAGAACAAAUGAAAAAGUCUGUAUGGCCUGGUCAUCGGUUGAUGGAUAGUCCUCAAGUCUGUGAAGUCCAGUCUCUGAGGCUGUGACUCUACUCUUAAUCCUUAGGUUUCCAAAGGCAGAGGAAGCCUGUGGGAGAAUGGGCCACCAUGUGCCUAGGAUAUACACUGGUUCUCUCUCUCUCUCUCUCUCUCUCUCUCUCUCUCUCUCUCUCUCUCUCUCCCCUCACUCUCCUUUUCCCUCUCUUUUCUUCUCUCUUCUUUUUUCCUUCCUUUUUCCUCCUCCUCCUUAUUCUUUUCUUCUUCUUCCUUUGGUACAAUCACCAAAAGAAGAUCUGUAGACAAUUGGAAUGACCAAAAGAUUGACAAAACUUCCUCAGUUGAUCCUACUGACUAGGGUGGGGAGUGAUUAUAUAACUUCCUGAACACAGUCUUCUUGCAAAUCCUACCCCACUUCCUAACUAAAUGGCUUGACGGUCAUUUUAUAUCAAAUUUUUACUAUAUCAGCUAAAGACUGCUUGCCUCAGCCAACCCCUUGGCUAAGGGUGUCAGAUGAGUCAAAGAUGUUUCUUCAGACAAUCUCACUGCCACAGUUAGCACCAUUCUGUGACUGAUCACUUGCAUGCAGAAACUGUUUCUUUGCGGUUCUUGGAGGUUUGUAGCGGAUAUUCUCUGCUCCAAGGAGGUAGAUAGAACAUGCAGCCUGCAGUGGAUCAUAUCCAGGUUUAAAUCGUUCCGUCAGUAGCUGCGUGAUCUUGAGCACAUUGGAAUACCUUCUUUAGAUAGAUGAAAACAUUUCCUCAUCUGUAAAGUGAGGAGAGCCACACUCAACUCACAGGACUGUUGGGAGUAAUAUAUGCAAAUACAUGCUGAUUCUAGGCACAUUGUAUUUAAUAAAUAACUUCCAAAACAA